rnacentral:rRNA from 1 species
ACGAAUGGUAAGCUAGAUGCAAAUGUGUACGGUAAGGAUUAUGACCAGAAGGCCUAUCGUUCUAUGAUCGGUUCCCUUCUCUAUCUAUGUGCAUCCAGACCUGACGUUAUGUUGAGUAUUUGCAUGUGUGCCCGGUAUCAAGCUACACCGAAAGAAUCGCAUCACCACGCAGUCAAGCGCAUUCUGAGAUAUUUGGCUCACAACCCCACCUUAGGUUUAUGGUAUCCUAAGGGAGCACAGUUUGAUCUCGUUGGAUAUUUAGACUCAGAUUGGGCUGGUGACUUGGUAGAUAGGAAAUCUACUUCAGGGACAUGUCAUUUCCUCGGUAGAUCAUUGGCCUGUUGGUCAUCAAGGAAGCAGAAUUGUGUAUCUCUUUCCACGGCUGAGGCCGAAUAUAUUACUGUUGGCGCUUGUUGCACUCAAUUAUUAUGGAUGAAGCAGACAUUGAAGGAUUAUGGCAUCAAGGUCAAGCAUAUUCCUCUGUAUUGUGACAAUGAGAGUGCCAUCAAAAUUGCACAUAAUCAUGUGUAUCAUUCUCGCACGAAGCACAUUGCCAUCAGACAUCAUUUUAUUCGCGAUCAUGUUGCUCAAGAGGAUAUUGUCAUCAAUCACGUCAAG